AUUGAACGCUGGCGGCAUGCCUAAUACAUGCAAGUCGAGCGGAGCGGCGGACGGGGGAGUAAUGCCUAGGAAUCAGCCUGGUAGUGAGGGAUAACGUCCGGAAACGGGCGCUAAUACCGCAUACUAUCAGAUGAGCCUAGGUCGGAUUAGCUAGGUGGUGGGGUAAAGGCCUACCAAGGCGACGAUCCGUAACUGGUCUGAGAGGAUGAUCAGUCAAACUGGGACGGAGACACGGCCCAGACUCCUACGGGAGGAAGCAGUGGGGAAUAUUGGGCAAUGGGCGAAAGCCUGAUCCAGCCAUGCCGCGUGAGUGAAGAAGGUCUUCGGAUUGUAAAGCACUUUAGGUUGAGAAGCGUUACCAACAGAAUAAGCACCGGCUAACUUCGUGCCAGCAGCCGCGGUAAUAC
rnacentral:rRNA from 1 species